rnacentral:rRNA from 1 species
AUUGAACGCUGGCGGCAGGCCUAACACAUGCAAGUCGAGCGGCAGCACGGGUACUUGUACCCGGUGGCGAGCGGCGGACGGGUGAGUAAUGCCUAGGAAUCUGCCUGGUAGUGGGGGAUAACGCUCGGAAACGGACGCUAAUACCGCAUACGUCCUACGGGAGAAAGCAGGGGACCUUCGGGCCUUGCGCUAUCAGAUGAGCCUAGGUCGGAUUAGCUAGUUGGUGAGGUAACGGCUCACCAAGGCGACGAUCCGUAACUGGUCUGAGAGGAUGAUCAGUCACACUGGAACUGAGACACGGUCCAGACUCCUACGGGAGGCAGCAGUGGGGAAUAUUGGACAAUGGGCGAAAGCCUGAUCCAGCCAUGCCGCGUGUGUGAAGAAGGUCUUCGGAUUGUAAAGCACUUUAAGUUGGGAGGAAGGGCAGUUACCUAAUACGUGAUUGUUUUGACGUUACCGACAGAAUAAGCACCGGCUAACUCUGUG